CCUCAUAGAUCACCCGAUACUUCCAAGCAACCAGGUGUUCCUUUCAGAAUCGAGAAGCUGAUAACCUGUGCUUUUGGAAGAGGACCUUCAGCCAUGUUUUUUGCAUUGAUGUAGGGGGUAGGAUUCUUCCCACUGUGUGCAAAAGCCAAUCAAACUCAUCUAUCACCAAACUAAGGAGGGUCUUAGACAGGAUGGACAUAAUAGAAGCAGCAGAAGAAUAAUGCCCCAGCCCUCCUGCAUCUACUUAACCCACUCUGUAAGAGCUAGAGUCAGAUUCCCACCAUAUGGAAUUAUCCUCAGCGCAGCAGAUGGGUUUACAAGUGUCUUGGUCUCUUCGUGUAAUUAGCAGCCAAGGAGUCUAAAUCUUGCACUGUUUACACGGAGAGUGUUUCUUGCCCGUUCCCACGUCAUACCAUCUGACACUGUUACCUUUUAUAUCUGGUGAGUGCAGUUCCUUAACUUUGUGGGAUCCUCCGCAUACAAACUCUGUUGGAC
rnacentral:lncRNA from 1 species